rnacentral:misc_RNA from 1 species
GAAAGCACAAGCAUGAGCAUCACUAGGAUCCCAGCAAGUCCUCACGAAGAACUCCCAAUUCUAAGCACCCAAGAAAAUUCUGGAGAAGGGAUCAAAGAAGCUCUAGAUCCGCUUUGAGCUGAUGAUGUAGAAGAACAAGACGAUGAUGAACUAGUAGUUCUAAUGGCGAUUAUUAAUCCAGCAAGAAUCAUUGGAAGAACAAAUCCA